GAUGAACGCUGGCGGCGUGCCUAAUACAUGCAAGUCGAGCGAACGGACGAGAAGCUUGCUUCUCUGAUGUUAGCGGCGGACGGGUGAGUAACACGUGGAUAACCUACCUAUAAGACUGGGAUAACUUCGGGAAACCGUAGCUAAUACCGGAUAAUAUUUUGAACCGCAUGGUUCAAAAGUGAAUGACGGUCUUGCUGUCACUUAUAGAUGGAUCCGCGCUGCAUUAGCUAGUUGGUAAGGUAACGGCUUACCAAGGCAACGAUGCAUAGCCGACCUGAGAGGGUGAUCGGCCACACUGGAACUGAGACACGGUCCAGACUCCUACGGGAGGCAGCAGUAGGGAAUCUUCCGCAAUGGGCGAAAGCCUGACGGAGCAACGCCGCGUGAGUGAUGAAGGUCUUCGGAUCGUAAAACUCUGUUAUUAGGGAAGAACAGAUGUGUAAGUAACUGUGCACAUCUUGACGGUACCUAAUCAGAAAGCAACGGCUAACUACGUG
rnacentral:rRNA from 1 species